CGCUGUGCGGGGUGUCACAGGGUGUACGGGGGUAGUACAUGGCGUGCGGAGCGGGUCAGGUUGUGCGGGGUGUCACAGGGUGUACGGGGGUAAUGCAUGGCGUGCGGAGCGGGUCAGGCUGUGCGGGGACAGGGUUCACCCGUCGCUGGCGGGAGGUUCGUGCCGGUGCGGGGGAACGGGGCACGCAGCGAUGUGAGGGGCCAGGGCACUGCCGAGCCCUGUGUUAGCGCCUGUUCCGAGGCAGCGCCGACACCCCGCGUAGCGGGCUGGAAUGUCCCUUAGAGCAGGGACCAUCCCGCCCCGCUGCUCUGUGAAACGGCAGGUCUGGAACUGGCGGGAGUGACACCAGGCAGCUCCCUCCUCUCAUCUCCCGUGCGUGUGACAGCGCCGGCCUCUCUCCGUGAGUGCAGCCCGUGAGUCCCUGGGCUGGAGAAAGCCGAAAGCUUGGCCAACCUGCAUCUUCUUCGAAGUACGAACAUAGCCAGUCCAGACUCUGAGUGAGCUGCAGGAGCCCUCCAGGUCUGGCUGCUAGAGUCUCUCUGCAGGUGGAAUGCCUCCUGUCCUUCAAUUGGCUCAGCAGAUCAGCCAGGAGGGAAACCAACAGCAAAAUGGACCAAAUUUGUCAAGUUUGCUUAAUUCCUUACCUGCUGCACCCAGCAGGAACCCAGUUCUGCCCCAGCAGGUACAACCAGCAGGAUGGGAUAAGAACCAAGUGCUUGUGGUCCCAGCUCCUGUUCCCUCACAACAACAGGAAAAGGAGAUUCUGCAGCAAACAGUAGCACUGAGGAAAGAAAGUUUAUGAUCUCUGAAACCUCUGCCCAAACUCCAUGAGGCCCCACAACAUAAAUCACACCAUGAAGAAAUGCAGUGGAUGGCAACAGAUUUUUUUCAAGAAAGAAGAUGAAAGAUAACUGUCAAGAGAGAUACAGGCUGGUCUCUCUCUGAAGUGAUUGGGAUGAAAAACCAAAUUACUUGCUACAAAGCACAAAUGCUGCCAAAGCUGAAGGUAAUUGGAAAGCUUAUUGAAGAGAUCUCCUGCUCCUCUUCAUCACCCAGACUUGAGCCAGUGAAGCUCAAACCAAACAGAGAGCUGUGUGUGUUCCCAGCUGUAGCAGUUGCUCCUCCAUGUUUGUAUGGGGCAAAUCCUUCUUAGGCAUGGAGCCAUGGAAUGAAACUCCUGCAGCUGAGUCUCGAGGAACAGAGGUGGUGCAGCAUGAUUCAGGCAGUCUGGGAGCUCUGCCUGUCCUGCUUUGGCAGCUGAAAGCAGAAGGGACAGCAGGUGCUGAUUUUGACACAGAUGAUUGCAAUGCUCAGCAUGCUGGAGCUUUUCCUGAAUUUCCAUUUCCUCAUGUGAGUGAGAGUGGUGCUCACAGCUGGCAUUAUCUGGUAUUCAUAAAAAGCUUCAACCAAGACAAGUGAUCCUUCUUUGCUAUCCUGUGCUAUCUCUGACACUGAUUUAGAUCUGCUGAUGGACACAAAGAUGGGGUGGUGUGACAAAAGUGCAAGAUACCCACACAUGCAGGCUUUUAAGUGGUAAUUCUGUUGAAGAGAGGCUGUUGAAAAAGAGUAUUAAAUAUAAUUAAAGAACUGGCUGCUCAGGGAGGGGACUGUUCAAGACUUUUUAUCCCAGGCUUAUUUGGGAACCAGUGAUAUGUGUUCACAGCUAAAUUCAGUAGAAAUCCUGAACUGUCACCUCAUAUAGAAAAUCAGAAGGUAACAAUAUCCAAUAAAUAUUGAUAACAUUGAUAUUGAUAAAUUGUAAUAAAGAUCUGCGUGUUCCAAUGAUAAUGUUACCCUUUUACUGACAUUGCAAAAUCUGUAGCAAAAGGUGUCAAAUACAUCUGUAAUCUGACUUUUUUCAACUUGAUUUUAAGACUACUAAAAAUUUUUUGCAUUUUUUUUCUUAGAGGUCUUGGAUCAUAUCAGUGAGGUGUUUAACUCUCUGUAACAAUGUUUAUCACUCUCCAAAGCAACGCCAAAAUGGUUACAUAAAAACCAUUGCAGGUGCAGGGGGAAAGGAGAGUUUAAGUUGAAACUUGCUUUGUAUUGUGAGGACCUGGGGACUUCUCGGGUCCUUUUUUUGGUUUUAUUUUAUUUUAUUUUAUUUUAUUUUAUUUUAUUUUAUUUAUUUUCCUUUUAAUUCCUUUUUGCUGUUAGAGUACUACAUGAGUGUUUACUAAGCAGAAACAUAACUGAAUUUUAGAAUUCUGAAUAGCUUGGUAUACAACCAAAUAUUAGUAAAUAACUUCUCCUAACAGUAUGAAUAAUAUAGGUUAUAUUUAUUACAUUUCCAUACACUUAGGAGUAUGAAAUUUCCCUGAUGUUAUGACAAUAUGACCUUGGAUAUAUCAUUUAGCACUACCAGUAUGUGAAAAAUAAAGGAGGGGAGAUGCUUAUUUUAACUUUUAAGUGGUAGGAUAUGAAUUGUCUUCAGUCAAGACUAUUGAUAACUAUUAAUUUUGAGACAGGGGACUUUUGAUUACGUGUUUUUGGUACCUAAGCCUUCACUUUGUAUUUAUUCCAGAAUGUAGGUGGUCAUCCUCUUUGUGUUAGACAAGCCUUGCUAAAAAACAGAAUUCUGAGUGUAUUCAAAUCUAUAUAAAUCACUUUGAGUCGAUGACAAUGACUACUAGAAAAAGAAGUUCCUCAAAUAGAUUUUUGUAAGUUUACUCCCACUGUCAAUAUUUUUUCUCAGAUUUAACAGUAAAUCACUGGUGGUCUGAUUGGUGAAUUUGUUUUCUCUUAAGCACAAGUGUAUUUCACGGGGACCUUUUUCUUAUCAAAGGCUCUGUGAUGACCUUUAGCCUUAAGGUAAAGUGUCCAAGAAUCAACUCUGUGCUCGUGCUGAUGUAAAGAAAAGCCUGAAGUGCUUCAGUGCGGCUCCAGCUGAUGUACCAGAAGUCCUUCCUCAUGUCCGGCUGGACCCUCCUGAGCAUCAGCGUGUGCCCGUUGUCUCCCGUCCUGUAACCUGGCAGCACCGGCCGCGCUCCGAGCCCCCUGCACACCCUGACAGACAGGGAUGGGGUCCCCUGCCAGCCCCUGUGCUCGGGGUGAGCAGCGCCGGCUCCCUCAGCCUUUUCCCGCAGGAGAUGCUCCAGCCCCUCCAUCACCUUUGUUUGCCCCGGCUGGCCCCGCUCCAGGCGCUCCCCGGCUCUCCUGCCCUGCGGAGUGCAAGUGUGGAUUUUCACACCGUCUAUUGAAGAGAAGCGACAGCCCUGCUCCGUGCGCGGACAGAAACUACCCUUUGCUCGGUCCUUAGCCUCCCCUGCCUCUGGCACAAUAAAUAUAAUUUUUCUG